UCCAGACUCCUACGGGAGGCAGCAGUGAGGAAUAUUGGUCAAUGGGCGGAAGCCUGAACCAGCCAAGUCGCGUGAGGGACUAAGGCCCUGCGGGUCGUAAACCUCUUUUGCCGGGGAGCAAGGGCGGGGACGUGUCCCGGCCCGGAGAGUACCCGGAGAAAAAGCAUCGGCUAACUCCGUGCCAGCAGCCGCGGUAAUACGGAGGAUGCGAGCGUUAUCCGGAUUUAUUGGGUUUAAAGGGUGCGUAGGCGGGCUUUUAAGUCAGCGGUAAAAAUUCGGGGCUCAACCCCGUCCGGCCGUUGAAACUGGCGUUCUUGAGUGGGCGAGAAGUAUGCGGAAUGCGUGGUGUAGCGGUGAAAUGCAUAGAUAUCACGCAGAACUCCGAUUGCGAAGGCAGCAUACCGGCGCCCAACUGACGCUGAAGCACGAAAGCGUGGGUAUCGAACAGGAUUAGAUACCCGAGUAC
rnacentral:rRNA from 1 species